GUCCCUAUAGCCCGCUCACCUUCGCUGGGCUCGCUGAACUGCUAGAUGCGCGGCGAUAGCUUGCUACAACGUCUUGGUGCAGCUAGUCACCGCUCGGGCGGUCUAUACUCCGGCCAAACCUCCCCCCUCUCUUCAGCGGACGGAGUAGCAGCACUGGACUAGCUGGCUGUUCACGGCGCAUUGCUCACAGCCCGGAACGGCGGCGUUGCCCUCCUUCCUCUCUCGCACCUCUCGAGGAGACACUUUUGAGGCUUCGCCGAGGCUCGCAGAAGGAAUGAAUCGACAUACAACACCACUGAAGGAACCCUGCAACCCUCAAACCCUCUGCUCUCCUGCGCACUCCCGCAACCUCAUCUCGCAUCUUGCCUCUCUCCUCCUCCCGCCUCCUCCUCUCGCCCCUCCUGCCCCAUCACGCACGACAGCGCCUCCGUUCCUCCACUCCGCACGCCUUCCACGCCGAACUCUCGCCGCCUCUUCGAGUGCCGACGAUGACCCGCUGAGCACUCUUCUUCGCGACUUGCUGGAGAUGGGCUGUUCGGAGGGUUCCGCCUGUGCUGGGCGCUAGGAGGUCUGCCGCAUCGUCGUCAGGCUAUUAGCGACGUUGCGAAACUCUGGCUGGCGCGGAAACGGUCGCACCCGCUGUGGAAGGCGCCGACCCCUCAUCCCUCGCGACCGCUCGUACUCCCUCCCGCCCUCGCGCGCCUCCCGCCGCUCGACUCAACCCCGACGGCGAACUAGGCGGACUGAGGUGGAACUCGAGCGCAUCGGGAGUUGGCAAGACGGGGAGAGUGAAGGAUGUCGAGGAGGAGGAGGGGAGGAAGGAGGAGAGGAGGUGGCGUAGGCCUGUGAGGGGCGUGGUGGACAUGGCGAGUGUGGAUGUAGUAGAGAGGCGAGCAGGAGCCGGGCCCAGGGGAAGGACUCGUUG
rnacentral:misc_RNA from 1 species